CAAGUGAGGAAACCUCUACCAUCUGAUAAACUACUGGGCCCGCUUUCAGAAAGGACAUUGCUGAGGAGAUGAAAACCCUACAGUUGAAGCCUAUCAGUCAUGAACAACUAUCUUUUUGAAGAGAUUUAACAAGCCCCCAAAUGGGCCCAAAGCAUCCAUAUCUCAAGAUCUUUCUCUUUCACAAAAGCAGAUGGACAAUAUGGAUGCCUUUCAUUUGCUGAGGAAGUUUCCAGGCUUUUAGUACACACAACACUUACGUAUGAGUAAAGCAGUUAAAAUCAUCAAAGCAACAUUGGUGUUUUCCAGGGACUGGAGGAAAGACAGAGAAGGCAGUCACCAGCCAAGAAGUACAAAAUUUCAGUUGUGCAACAUAAAAUUACUAGGUA
rnacentral:lncRNA from 1 species